rnacentral:sRNA from 1 species
GGACUCAUGGACAGACACCCAGUGCACCGAAUUUCGAAAUAUUGUCUCUAAAUUUGCAAAAUUUCAAAUUACCGCCAACCAGUGUGACGUGGAUUUUCGCUCGGACCGCCCGUCUCUUCUCGUGAACCUGUACGGAUUGCCAAAUGGAACAGAAAUCGAUAAAAAAGUGGCGAUCGAGGAGAUUUGCGCGGUUUCUAUGCAAAAUGUUAUGGUCUCUCAAUUUCCCACUAAUUUUAUGGGUAUAAUUUUUGAAUUUUUGGAAAAAAAAAAUUUCGCGAAAAUUUCAAAAACCCGAAAAACCCGAACAAAGUUUAUAUAACAUUCGAAUUCAGCACGCCGAGAGCUUUGAUUUAAGUAUAAUCAUGACUAUGGGUUACGAGUAAUUGGGUCCCACCACGAAAAUCCCCGGGGUUACUGUAGUUUUUCGUGGUGGGACCCGGAAAAUUUUCAAAAUCAAUGGAAUCUGGUCAUGAUUAUACUUAAAUGGAAGCAUUCAAACAGCUGAAUUUGAAUUUCAUAGUUUUGUUUUAAAAAAAUGAAAAAUUUCCGAAAAAUUUGGGUCUCGCCACGAAACCCCGAAAUUUUUGGUUUUUCCGCUAUUUUUUUGGUUUAAAACAUGGAAUGUGUUUAAAAUGUCAUAAAAAACUAAUUUUUCUCAAACAUUAUCUAAAAAAAAAUCGAAAUUUGGAUUAGUUUUUCAUAGAAAAUGUCAAAAAAGGAAUAAAAAAUUCAAAAAUUUUUGUAAAAAUCAAAUUCACUACAUUUCUAGCUUCAAUUUAAGUAUAAUAAUGACCAAUUUUGCUAGAAUUUGAACAAAAAAUCGGGUCCCACCGCGAAAACUACAGUACCCCUGAGGUUUUCGUGGCGGGACCCAACUUUUUUAAAGAUUUAGCAAAAAAGGUCAUGAUUAUAUUCAAAUUGAAGCUCUCAGUGAGACACAAUCAGUCGAAAUAUGAAUUUUCAGAAAAAAAUUAAUUUUGAAAAAUUUUGGUUAAAAAAAAAAAAAUAAAAACAUUUUUUUUUUUUUUGAAAAUUUUUUUCCAGUCAAUCCCAAGCUCGAGGAGCUCGACAAAGAGCAAGACCACCUCGACGUGAUUCUUCUCGAAGAGUUCCGCCGGGACCUCCCAGCCGACUGGGCUCACGAGCCGCCUGCCGAUUACCGUGAAGACGACGCCGACUGGGAUAUACUGCAGUGCCACGUGGCAGAAUGGAAUGACACGGCACUCGAGCAAUUCCGAAGAGCCGAUGGAAGCUUUUGGGCGAUGCUCGAGCCGAGUUGCACCGUAUCACCCUGGGAAAUGCACGUUACACCGAUUUUGGCACCGGAAAAGAUGUCUG